rnacentral:rRNA from 1 species
UACGUAGGUGGCAAGCGUUGUCCGGAUUUACUGGGCGUAAAGAGCUCGUAGGCGGUCUGUCGCGUCUGCUGUGAAAAUCCAGGGCUCAACCCCGGGCCUGCAUUCGAUACGGGCAGACUAGAGUUCGGUAGGGGAGUCUGGAAUUCCUGGUGUAGCGGUGAAAUGCGCAGAUAUCAGGAGGAACACCGGUGGCGAAGGCGGCCCCCUGGUUGGAUACUGACGCUGAUACGCGAAAGCGUGGGGAGCAAACAGG